ensembl:lncRNA
GUGAGAGAUACAGAGCGCUCUUUUCUUUUCCUCUCUUCUCCUACUGUUGAUACGCUUCAAUAAAAGAUGCUGUUUGCUAUCUUAAGGACGAGUCCACUUGUGUUUGUCAAAUUUCCGUGACAACUCUUAACAAGAGGCCAGUGAGAGACAAUUUGACUGAACGUCAUCUCUAUGAUCUACUUUGUAUCUCCAUUACAUGACUUACUCUUAACUUGACAACAAUUCUGAAAUCCAAGGCACAACGUCACUGUUCACAUUAGUAGAGUUAUUGGUGCAGGUGGUCAUGUGACAGUGAGGCAGAGGUGCAGUGGCUGCUGGGAACUGAAGUCCAGAGUUCCUUUGGGAUAUUCAUGACAGAGGGAGGAGCGACGCUCUCCGCAAGGCCAGAGGUACUAACACAAUAAACUAAAUACAUAAAACAUGAACUAUGGGCAGAGAGAAAUAACAUUGACUAAGAAACUAGACAACAUAACAACAGCAACAUAAGACAAUCAAAGCAAGACAAAGAAUGCAUGACUAUGACUAUAUACACACACAGAAGUGUUUGUUAACAUGAAUGAGAAUCAGCUGCAGGUGGUCAUGUGAGAGUGAUGCAGAGGUGCUGCUGGGAACUGAAACCCAGAGCUCCUUUGGGAUAUCCAUGACAAACGGAGGCAAUUAAGUAGUUUGUCUAAUAGUAACUUUUAAAAAAUAUUAUUAUUAUUACAGUCAUGCGGCCCAUGACACCUUAUUUGUUUAUUUCUUUUGCACCUGGCCCCAGUACAAAAAGUUUGGACACUCCAGUGUAAUUCAUUCUAAAUAGGAGCAAUAAAUUUUCUGAUCUAUGGUUAAAAAAUAACUUAUAGCUGCAUGUUCAUACUAUUGUUAAAAAAAAUAGAAAGGCUGUUUCAUAACUAUAAACAGUCCAAUCUGCUUUUAUUAAAGGCAUAGACAAGUUGAACUGCAUCUCACUGAAAUGUCAUCAAUAUUUAAAUAAAAAAAUGCAUGGAUAUUAUGUUUGUCAAUUCUAGGCUUUGGUUUACUUCUUGCAAAUGGAUGCACCAUGUUUUAUGCUUUCAUGCAACAACCUCAGUGUAAAAUAUUUGCUUUUGCAGCCUUCUGUCACAGGAGAGGUCUUUAGCUGGAGAAAGUGUUGAGUGACUUUCUUUAGCAUUUAGUGCACAAAACUGGUAAUUAUUGGAGACAGAGAGAAAUGGAACAUGUUAUUAGUGGGAUUUACAAAAUGCUUUGUGCUCAUCGAGAGGUUCAACCAAGCCUUCAAUCAGAUGCUACGACGGGUGGUAGACAAAGAGGGCAGAGAUUGGGACCUCCUCCUACCCUACGUUCUCUUCGCUGUUCGGGAGUGCCCCCAAGCCUCCACAGGCUUCACAACCUUCGAACUCCUCUUCGGGCGGCGACCUCGAGGACUGCUGGACGUGGCCCAGGAAGCCUGGGAGGAACAGUCCUCCCCGUUCAGCACAGUCAUCGAUUACAUGCAGGAAAUUCAGGAGAGAAUUGACCGAGUGGCCCCGAUCGUCCAGGAGCAUAUGUGAGCCGCCCAGGAGGAGCAGAGUGUACAAUCGGCCAGUGCAACCACGGAAGUUCCAACCUGGCGAUCGCGUUCUCCUACUGGUGCCGAACAGCUCCUGCAAAUUCCUAGCCCGGUGGAAAGGGCCAUACACAGUCCUUGAGCGGAAGGGGUCCGUAAACUUUUGCCUGCAACAGCCCGGUAAGCGAGCGGAGACACAAAGGUAUCACGUGAACCUGCUAAAGAAAUGGGUAGAGCUGGCACCAGUAGUGUCUGCGUUCGUGGCACGGGACACAGGUCACGACGAGGCCCCAUCGUAGUCGUGCCAAAGCCUGACAGAAGUAUGCGCCUAUGCAAUGACUUCUGGAAGCUGAACCAGGUCUCGGAGUUCGACAGCUAUCCCCUCCCCCGAGUGGAUGACCUAGUGAAGCGAUUGGGGAGGUUCAUAUCCACCCUGGACCUAACCAAAGGAUACUGGUAAGUGGCCCAGGCCCCAGAGGUGAGACCGAAGAUGGACUUCAGCAUGACGAACGGCCACUGGCAAUACCGGGUUCUCCCCUUCGGGCUCCACAGGGCACCCGCAACGUUCCAGUGACUGAUGGACAUUGUCCUGUGCCCCAUCGUGCCUUCGCAGCCACCUACCUGGACGAUGUAGUCAUCCAUUCCUCCACCUGGUCAGACCACUUGUUCCACCUGGGGGAGGUCCUGAAAGAGCUCCGGAAGGCCGGGCUGACAGCCAACUACAAAAAGUGCCACCUGGGGCUGACUGAGGCAUAGUACCACAGGUACCGUACUGGCUGGGGCCUACUAAAGCCCCAGAUGAAGAAAAUUGAGGCAGUAAGAGACUAUCCCCGGCCUACAUAAAAAAAACAGGUGCAUGCAUUCUUGGGGUUGGCGGGGUACUACCGCAGAUUUGUGCCUAACCUCUCCUCUGUAGCCUCCCCCCUCUCAGAUCUUACGAAGAAGGGCCAGCCGGACCGGGUGAAGUGGUCUGCAGAGGCGGAGUGGGUGUUCCAAGCCAUGAAAGAAGCCCUCACCAGCGCCCCAGUGCUACACAACCCAGACUUCGCCCUUCCAUUCACUGUGCACACAGAUGCAUCCGAAACCGGGCUGGGCGCCAUUCUCUCACAGACCUUCGGCGGAGAAUAACACCCAGUCCUAUACAUCAGUUGAAAGUUAUCCCCAGCCGAGAGGAAGUAUGUGGCCAUGGAAAGAGAGGCCCUGGUGAUUGAUAAAGUGGGCCAUUGAAGAGCUGCGUUACUACCUGGCUGGUCGGCACUUCGUCCUGGUGACAGACCACGCCCCACUGCAGUGGAUGGCCAAAGCCAAGGACACUAACGCCAGGGUAACGCAAUGGUUCCUCUUGUUGCAGGAUUUCUCUUUAAAGGUCCAGCACCGGGCGGGGACCCACCAUGGGAAUGCAGAUGGCCUCUCGUGACGGGAUGCACUGUGGGCCAGACAUGCGGCGUCAGUAGGCUCAGAGCUGGGUGGAGGUACUGUGGCGACGGGCCGGUAGCUGGCGCACAAGAAACAGAGAUCGCUCCUCCCGCGACUGCCGCGGUGGAGCUGAAGAGACAGCUCCGUUUCAGCACCACCAAUGUUUUGGACGGCCGGAGAGCACGUGGCG